rnacentral:miRNA from 1 species
GGCUGGGCUGGGCUGGGCUGGGCAAGGCAGGAGAGUGAUGCUGGGCCAGAUCUUUGGCCCUUCUGUUCUUUUGUGCUUCUU